UAAGUUAGACUAGGCAUGUAACCCCU
rnacentral:piRNA from 1 species